UCUCUCCAUCCAGAGUGCCCCGAGGCUCCCUCCCACCAUUCCUUCCCCCGCGGCAGUGUCACCAUGGACCACGGAGCAAAGUCUCGACCGCGGCGGCGCUGUCGUGUUGAGGAGGGAGGAUCAAGAAGGGGGGUGGAGCUGGGGCGACGGCCACACGGAAGGAGCCGGGAGCAUGCCAGAGCGGCACUCAGUUUGCUCAGGUGCCGCUGUGCAGUCGUAUCUACGAGCAGCCUGCGGCCGGGUGGGGAGCUCCUCGCAAGUUGUGGCGACGGCUGAAAUAAAUUGCGCUCGUUCAUGUGGUCGACAGUGAGGAAAAAGCACAUGUUUUUUUGGUUGAGGUUGCUCUGCACUUGUUCGUAGCAAUACCAAACAACGGUAGAAACUUCAUUUGUUUGUCAGGCUUGUUUGUGGUUUUACUAAACUUCUUUGUCAGGCUUGUUUGUGGUCUUUCUGCUGAACUUCAUUUGUAGAUAUUGCACAAAAGCAUGAUGACGACUACGAGCCCGCCCCGUCGCCGCCGCGCCCCUGCUGCUUCCGCAGUGCACCGCUAUUCUUACACCUGCAGCCUUCACAGCCUGCCUCUACCGCUCCCGCCAGCACCCCGUCGCGGCUGUCGUCGCCGGAGAGACACCCACCGCCGGCACAGGCGCAUGAGCCAUCGCCGCCGGAGAUAAGUCAGAGACCCGGAGCCCCCAUCCUGGUAUUGGACCUUCCAAUUCAAGGCACCUUCCACCUAAUACUGGAGUAAGUGGUUCCACAGAUUCAGGAAAAGCAGGGCUGAAUGGAAUCCAACGGAACUAAUGUUGCAGCUAUAGCAUCCGAUAUUUAGUGAUACAUGUUUAAUUCGGUGAUAACAGGUAUAUCAUCCCAUAUUGUUUCACUUGCAUGGUUCUGUUCCAUUGAUGUUGUAGCUGGUACUUGCCAGUCUCUAUGGAGUAUAGGUACGAGUGGAGUAAGUGAGAAGAGUACAUUAUUGUAGGUUGCAUGUACUUGUUGUAGUUACCUAAACCAUGCAAAAAUGGACAGAUUUUUCAACAUAUGAAGCUGUUAUUAGCUAACAUCUCUUCUUUUUUCUCAUUUAGUUGCAUUACUGGAAGGUGGGUCAGGGCGCAGUGUUGAAUCAUCUUGAUUGGCCCGAGAGAAAUGAGGACGCUGCGACAGGCAACCUUUUGCUUACUAACCUCGCAAAUAUUUGAAGCGUAAGUCUCUAACUACGAAAAUGAUCUCAAAACCUUUCAUGUGACAUUGCACCUAUGAUAUGGAGAGUAUGACGAAUUAUACAAAAAGAAAAUAUAAUUUAUGGUAAUAGAAUUACAUGUAGUACUUAAUAUUUAUUACCCGUAUGAAGCAAAGUGUCUACAACCUUUAUAACUACAGCAGUUUAACUUUGAUACUCGGCAAUAGGUAUGCCGAGCUUUGCGGUUUGCCACUUCCUGAAGUAAGUAGAAAUAGGAGUUCCAGUUUCUUGAUUUUCAGGAAACUGAGGAGGAGCGUUUGAGUAAAGAGGAGAGGAAUGGUUGGGAAGCAAAUAAGAGGAAAAGGAGAGGAAAAGCAGGAGGAUGAACUGCUAAAAUAUAGCUAUGAUCCCAUGAGUAUAUUAUAAAUAUCAUUUUAGUUUGUUGUCUUUUUAUUGAUUUUUCUUUGUGAUAAUAAUUGAGAAAUAAAGAAUAAUUAUGGCAUGUCAAAUAUUACCAUACUACCAGAUAUUUUUUAUUAUAUUUAGACAUUUCCAUUUUGGGUAGACAUGUGUUAUGUUUCUUAACAUUUUCUUCUUCUUGAUCUCGACUUACUUUGGACAUGCAAAGUGAGGACUUGGAUGUCUGCACACUCUAAUUUGGCUCUGAAGUUUCAAUUUGGAUAUUUGUCUCUUCUAGGUGACUUGUAAUGCAAAUUCUCUAUAAAUACAUUCAUGGAGCUAGGUGAAAACUAAGGGGACUUAUAGCAUGGCUACGGAAAAAGCUAAUAAGUGAUCACUAGGCAGUAGCACCAUAUGUUACAUAUAACUGGGUCAAGCUUUCAUCUUAUUUGGUGCCUCCUUCAUGUGUCCGUGUGUCCAUGUAUGGAUGAAAAACUAUGUAAAUAUUUGACAACUAUUUUGAUAAUUAUUUGAUGUCAAGUGAGACGUGCGUUGCACGUGCAAGCUUACUAGUUGAAGAAAGUGCAAUAUUCAGACGCCGGAUGCAGACAUUAACAUCUCUUUACUCACCCGCGUGCAAAAUCCUUCCAUGAAAUUCCAUUUAUAAAUACUCUUAUCCAAAGCCUUCCCUUCAAGUAUAUGCUAUUUAUUCAGUCUCUUUGUGUUGCUCAGUCGUCUUGUCUAUUGGAUACUUUCUUGUGCUUCCGGUUUAAUGGGAUUUUAACGCAUGAUCGAUGCUCCGCUUUAAUCAUCACCAUGGAAAGUUUACCCAUGCAUGUCAUCUGCCCGUGAGCCCUCCUUUAAUUAUUAUGCGAACAAACACGAGUGAUGUGCUAAAUCGAUGGUGCAACUUCCAUCCUUAAGAAUGCAUAGCAGCCCCACA